AGGGGGCAAGCGUUGUCCGGAAUUAUUGGGCGUAAAGGGCGCGCAGGCGGCCGCUUAAGUUUGGUGUUUAAGCCCAGGGCUCAACCCUGGUACGCACUGAAAACUGGGUGGCUUGAGUACAGAAGAGGAGAGUGGAAUUCCACGUGUAGCGGUGAAAUGCGUAGAGAUGUGGAGGAACACCAGUGGCGAAGGCGACUCUCUGGUCUGUUACUGACGCUGAGGCGCGAAAGCGUGGGGAGCG
rnacentral:rRNA from 1 species